rnacentral:rRNA from 1 species
GACGAACGCUGGCGGCGUGCUUAACACAUGCAAGUCGAACGGAAAGGCCCUGCUUUUGUGGGGUGCUCGAGUGGCGAACGGGUGAGUAACACGUGAGUAACCUGCCCUUGACUUUGGGAUAACUUCAGGAAACUGGGGCUAAUACCGGAUAGGAGCUCCUGCUGCAUGGUGGGGGUUGGAAAGUUUCGGCGGUUGGGGAUGGACUCGCGGCUUAUCAGCUUGUUGGUGGGGUAGUGGCUUACCAAGGCUUUGACGGGUAGCCGGCCUGAGAGGGUGACCGGCCACAUUGGGACUGAGAUACGGCCCAGACGCCUACGGGAGGCAGCAGGGGGGAAUAUGGCACAAGGGGCGGAAGCCUGAUGCAGCAACGCCGCGUGCGGGAUGACGGCCUUCGGGUUGGAAACCGCUUUCGCCUGUGACGAAGCGUGAGGGACGGGAAUGGGUAAAGAAGCACCGGCUAACUACGU